rnacentral:rRNA from 1 species
GUGGGGAAUUUUGGACAAUGGGCGAAAGCCUGAUCCAGCAAUGCCGCGUGCAGGAUGAAGGCCCUCGGGUUGUAAACUGCUUUUGUACGGAACGAAAAGCCUGGGGCUAAUAUCCCCGGGUCAUGACGGUACCGUAAGAAUAAGCACCGGCUAACUACGUGCCAGCAGCCGCGGUAAUACGUAGGGUGCAAGCGUUAAUCGGAAUUACUGGGCGUAAAGCGUGCGCAGGCGGUUUUGUAAGACAGUGGUGAAAUCCCCGGGCUCAACCUGGGAACUGCCAUUGUGACUGAAAGGCUAGAGUGCGGCAGAGGGGGAUGGAAUUCCGCGUGUAGCAGUGAAAUGCGUAGAUAUGCGGAGGAACACCGAUGGCGAAGGCAAUCCCCUGGGCCUGCACUGACGCUCAUGCACGAAAGCGUGGGGAGCAAACAGGAUUAGAAACCCUGGUAGUCC